CGCAGCUUUAUCAACCCAAGUUAUAGAGGGAUGGCAACAUUUCAAGUCCAAAAGGAGACGCCGGGCGCCACUUGUUCAAAAGGAAAAACUCUCGGAAGCAGAGAAAGUGUUUAUACCGAUUCACAGACAUGGAAGCCAUUGGACAUUGCUGGUGUUGGAUGUACAAGCCAAACGAAUGCGCUUCUAUGACCCCUUGAACCGGAG
rnacentral:lncRNA from 1 species